AGUACAACAUGAUAAAGAUUAAUCUUUUUGUUAAAUACCUAUGAUGAUUUGGGCUUUAGAGCAGGCCUUCAAUUUGAAGCUUGAUUUCAGUGAGACUGGGGAUGAUUUUGUUUUUUUUUCGAAGACUAAUGCUGGAAUGAUGCUCAGGUAUCUUGAACAAACAACUAAUGUUUUUGGUUCCUGGAAAUGCUUUAAGGAGAGUUACAUCUUACAACCUGGAUAUGGGCUUUUGAACAUCAAGCCUGAAGGUUUCUCAGGAAUUAAUGGUAGAAGACUCAUUGAGGCAGCCAAAAUGAGAGCUGGGAGUUACAGUGGAGAAAUAAAACGUGACUUAAGUGUGGCAAUAGCCCUUACCCGAUGACAGAAUUUCCAUCACCUGAAGCUUUUGUAACAUCAGAUUCCAGUGGGUUUGGACAAGGAACAGAUUUUUGGUAUGGAAGAAAAGGAGAUGGACUACAGGGUUGAGUUGUUCAACAAGUUUUAUGCAUUGUAUUUUAGUUGACGUCACAAACGAAUAAUGGGGUUUUUGCAAGUUAGUAUUUGAAUCCAAUUUCUUUUCUGUCUCAGCUCCAAUAGUUUGAGCAAUUAGUUCGGGUGCUUCUUUUCCAUGCACAUCUUCUUCCAUUCAUUAAUUUAUUUUGGCUUUUCACACCUGCUUCCUUCUAUUUCCAUUAGCUCUCAUACUUUAUUUGAUGAGCAUAUCUGAUCAUUGUACAGGACAACAUGGUUCAAUAAUACUUUCUGCACCUAUACUUCUAGCUGGUAUCGAUAAGAGUAAUACUGGCUUUUAUUCUGUGCAGAAAGGAAACCCCUCAUGAUUCUUAUAAUUUGGGCAAUCAUAUGCAUCAGUUCAAGGGAAGUAGCGCAAGCUUCACUGGCUUUUGUUUGAAUGUUAAUAAUCUAGGUGGAGAGAUUCCUCCUGAGGUCAGAAAGAUGGGCAGCUUGGAAGGUUAACUCUAUUUCUUUUUUUUCUUUUUUUCUUUUUUGUUGAUGAAUUUGAUUUUUGUACGCAUUUGAUUAGUUUGUUGUUGAUUGUGUUAAAAUGACUUUGAGUAUUUUUGUCUAGUUUAUAAGCUUUUGUUGUGAAAAGAUUUGAACUUUGUUUGUAAGAAGAAAAAGAGAGACUAUUGGCAAGUACUUUUCUGAGUCAUUUUGAUCAUUGUUGGUUUCUAACAGAUCUUUUCUGGCUAAGAACCCUGAUUUAACUGUAGGUGGGUAUAUUUGAUGCCGUAAACAGUACAAAGAAAAAUUUGGCUUAGGUACGGUGUUUAUGAUGGUUUUUGGGUGGUAUGUUCUGUUUUGAAUGCAAACUUUGAAAUCGGCGUGGUUUCUGUACCAUAAGAUUGCCACCUUGCUGACUUGAUUAUGUGCCAAAGUGGAGAGGACAAGAAAGCUAAAUUGAAAAUAAAGGUUGCAGAAGAAAUGCAGACAGAGAAAAAAGGGAAAAUUAUUGCUGCUAUUCUUCAUUUAGAGGCUCCCAGCUUCUGUAUCUUUGGGAAGUUCCUUGGUUUCUGAUUUGUAUCUUUGUACUUAUUGUUUUAGUAGUGUACUGUUUUGAAUAAAAUUUUGAUAUACAUCAGAAAGAGAGAGGAAAAGCCUUCUGAUGGUCAUUGGUUGCUCA